GCCGUCUUCCUUUGAGAGCAGUGACGCCGCGUUCCUCUGCGGCCGGCCGGCCGGCAAGGCGACCCCUGCGUGGGAAGGCGUCGGCGACGGGCCUCCGCGCUGCCGUCGCGGGACCCAGCGGCCGGGGGACCAGCACGAGAGGAGCGCAGAGCUCCGGCUCCGGUUUCGCCGAGUCGCGCGGCCCGGGUCCCGCCCGCGGCCUGAAGCGCGACGGGCCAGGCGAGCUGCGAGCGGCGCCUCCAGGGCAGCGCUCCCCAGGAGCAGCUCUGCGGGCUGUGCUCGGCCCCACGCUUUUUCCCUCAGGCUGAUUUACCUCUGACCUGCUGUCUUUGUUUCCACCUACUGUGGUUGGGGUGGAAGCGCGGAGGGGAGGACGAGCGCAGGGCCGCGCACUCCCGCGAAGCCCUGCGGCGCGCGCCUCACUGGCUCCCGGGGCCGCGCGCGCUCCGUCCAGGCGUCCGCGCCAGGCGCCCGGAGACGCCAGAGCGGCAGGCAGAACCGGUACGCGCCAGCUGCCGGGCCGGAGGGGCCGGCCUCCAGGCCCCGGUCUAGGGACGCCGGAAGUCCGUCUGAGGCCCGUGAGCUCGGCU